UCAGUCUGACAGCCCACCAGUAACUGAAUCACACCAAUACCCAUGUGAAAUAGGAAGCAGAUUCUUCCCCAGUUGAACCUGAAAUCAAAUCUGAGUCCUGGACAGCAUAGCAAUAGAAGCAUUGUAAGAGAUCCUAAAGGAUAUGGCUACCAGGAGAAAGCUUGCUUGUUGGUGGGAAGAUUCCUUUUCAGUUGUCUGAAGGAGACCCAGUAAUGAAUGCCCUUUGUGCCUACACUGGGUUCGUUUAUCUUGACAUGGCCGUCAACUGCAGCUGCAGACCUCAACCUAUGCCAGAAUGAUGGUGGUGACUUGUACAAAGAAAUGUUAGAGAAAGAGCCACUGUAAA
rnacentral:lncRNA from 1 species